rnacentral:ribozyme from 1 species
GGUCGAUGGUGAAAAAUCUUCUUCUCGAACUGCUUUCUAAAAGCUCACUAUUUUCAUUCGUUCAUUCAUUCAUCAUCAUCUUCAUCGCGAGAUUGUCCGUCAAUAACAAAGGUUCUCUAACCGUCCAAAUCUUUUCCCCAUACCACCAUUCAAUAUUACCAUGUCUGGAAAAAUUGC